UACGAGGGGGGCGAGCGUUGUUCGGAAUUAUUGGGCGUAAAGGGUGCGUAGGCGGUUCCGCAAGUCCUGUGUGAAAUCUUCGGGCUCAACUCGAAGUCUGCACGGGAAACUGCGGGGCUUGAGUGUGGGAGAGGUGAGUGGAAUUCCCGGUGUAGCGGUGAAAUGCGUGGAGAUCGGGAGGAAUACCAGAGGCGAAGGCGACGACCUGGACAGGCACUGACACUCAACUACGAAAGCGUGGGGAUCAAACAGG
rnacentral:rRNA from 1 species